UUCCAUCCGUUUCAGGUCGGACACAGUGCAUUUACAUUGGCUGAUCCGGAUGAUCUCGGGAGCAGCGGGGACGUUGCAUUCCUCCUCCACCACACGGGCGGCCAGCUGGAUGCAGCAAACUCCAAUGCAAGACAAGUGCUUUGGCUUCACCUGAAAAAGUACAGGAAGCGCUGUCGCAGCUCUUGGAUAAUGCAACGCUAACACCUACGAAUUAAGGCAGAGUUAAAACAAAAGGUAAGCGGCGCAUAAGGAGGAAAGAAUUAACUUUUCGCAGGUUUACGUACAGCCUGGUGUGGCAGAGUUUUUUGGGAUGCGCACUUCCAAGCUUCCCAUCCCGUGGAGUGAAUCCAAGGCUCGGUGUGUCAGGAAGGAGAUGGCGGGUCGGCCCCUAAGUCAGAGGCUGCAUCAAAGACCUUCUCAGCCUGCAGCUUGACCAGAUAAAACAAAAACCCCAUCGUCUGGAGGAUUUGUGGGGCUGCCCCAACGUGCUCGUGGACAAACACAAAGGGAUAAAUGUCCUAGGACAGACCCAAACCACAGCGACUGGCUGUGUGUACACACUGGAGACAAAAGCCUGUGGAGGCGGCUCCAGCAGAUUAGGACUGGGUUUGAUCUAGUGAGGUUCCACAGCUCCAACAAACAGAAACUGUUUAUGAAAUGUCUCGGUCUGGGAAAGCAAAUCCGCCUUCUCCACCGAGCCGUCAGCAGCGAUCCUCUGCCAAGCGCUAUUUCGAGGCACAGUCCCUGUCUGCUCUGCCAGCGAUGACGGCCAACGCUUCCUUUGAGUUUAUUUGGAUGCCAAGCGCUCCAAGAGUCCCGUAAACAGACUUUUCCUCAGGGUAAUUCCUGACGGGGGCCAGCGCUCCUGUAGGUACCACCAGCUACACCUGAGCAUCCCUCCCAUCACACGGUGAAUGAACCGGCGCACCGGCUGAUUUUUGGGAGGGGGGGACAAAAGCCAUUGUAGCUUCUGAAGUGGGAGCUGUGGAUCUGCUCCAGUUUGAAAAAUUAAUUGUUAACAAUUGUGAGUGGAACCAACUUCCGACUGGUUCCAUGCAGUGACAUCAUCCAGGUGACAUUUACAGGAUGAGGCUCUCGGCUCCAGUCUCUGUUCUCCAAAAGCCCUGGGCGGUCACUCCUUUUAUUUCUCCCCACGUUCUGAAGUGUAUUUUGCCACCACAGAUAUGGAACAUGGCUGUUUGUCCUCCUCCAGCAUAGUGGAACAUAAGUUCCAGUUUACCUAAAGGACAGAAAAGGUUCAUUUUGCAAGCACAGAGCAUGACAGCUCUAAAAAUACCAAUUCAGACACCUACUUGAACACAUACGUUCCUUUCCCUUUCCUAAUUUAAACCUAAUAGAACACACUGAAAAAUUAUCCUUCAAUACAUCACGUAACCUGAGGGGGGAAAUCUCUUAUCAGAGCAUGGCUCACUUCCCAAGCUAGGAGAGAAGGAUCCCUGCCUCAUCUUUGUUCCUCGGUAAUUAACUCAUUUGUUGCAAACAGCUGAGUAGGAUCGAGAAAAAACCCCACCAAACCCCAAGGAUCCUUACUGUAAGUGAUGGACUCCAGCUUUGGGAUUAAAACCAGGGAAAACGAGUCUAUGCUGUCUGGACCUGGCAGAACAAUGGAGUGUUGUGGGAAAAGGAGGAGUCGUGGUGAGCUACUACUACCAGAUGCUCAAGCCCGUUUUCUGCAGGAGGACGGUUCAGGCAGCACUGGAUCGGCAGCUGGAGCUGCAGCCCCAGUCCUGCUCCCCCUGACACUGCUGUGCAGCGAAGGGAACCUCUGAGAAGCCAAGAGAAUGACAUCAAAUGGCGAUAAUUUGCCUUCAGUGCAAGUUAAAUUGUCUGAAAGGCAGCUGUGUGUUUCAAUAGCCUUGUGCUUGUCCAAGCAUGACCACGGAACCAGCAGUUUGCUCAGAGGUCUCCUUUAAUAACCAUUUGUUACUGGAAGGUGCGUUUAAUUCACUGUGUAUUUCUGUCACUUAUUUUAAGUGGGUUCUUUUAUUUAAUUGACAGGAUAAUUCUAGGCAGUGUUGUACUUAUGGCUUUGGAAAGUUGGGGUUUUUUUUGGUUUUUUUUUUUUUUGGAAAGGUAGUCGUGCAUAAUUUCAGGAGGUGUUUUCAAAAUCAUAGGGAUUCUGCAUAAAUGGAAUUUAAAUUAGUCAUUAAAAGUUAACCCAUGGAAAAGAAAAAAAAAAAAAAAGAGAAGCAGUCACCUUUCUGCCUGUAGAACCAGGCAGCUGCUGAGUAAAAUGAUUUGGUAGGAAGCACUCAGUUAUGAAGGCUGGGAAUGGAUAUUGUAAAUUUAUUUUAUGAUUUAACCCUUAUUUUCUAAUUUAACAUUCCAUUAUCUAUAACUGGGAUUAAACUCUAAGAGGCCCGAGGUCCCUUUGCACAAAGCAUCCACGAGUCAAUAUGAAGAUACUUACAAAAUGAAACACUCCUUUCUCUCCUUUACCACACUUACUUAAAUUCUUGUAUGUCAUUGACUUCUUUGGGACAAUGUCCUUUUCACUUUGCAUAGGGAUAAUCACUAAUUAUAAAUACGAAAUAACAUCAACCUGUACAUUCUUCCCUUUAUCGGACAAUACAAACACAGACUGUCACAGAUGGAAGGUUUUUUCCAACUGUAAAUGUAAGUAAUGGAGUCUAGAGAAGUGGUUAUUCCUACUCAAAUACUAGAAGCUGGAGUACUGGAAUUCUUGUGGAGUCUGCUUAUGUUAUUCCUGUGCCAGUAAGGAAUAUUCCAUUUCCUCCCCUUGCUUUCCAGAUGACUACCUUUAGUCAUUUCAUGUCCAUUGGUGCAUAAUGUCCUUAUUUCCCAAUAAUUUAUACUUUGUUGCACGAGAGGAAAAUUGCUCUGUGCUGGUGUGAACAGAGAUGUACAAAUUUCCACGCCCAGUCCCACAGAUGUUUUCCAAGGAACAGCUGCAAGAACAUUUCCAGCAUAGCUGUGUCCUAAGCUACCUUAUCCAGGCACGUUUCACUAACAUCCCCUUGACACUUGCCAGAAGAGAUAAUUCAGAUACACUCUCUCAGAUGUACCCUCAGUGAACAUGAUCCUGAUCCUCAUGGAAAAGUGAAAAUCACUGUUACGGGGCGGCAAACGAUCCCUGGGAAAAGGCAGGGCUACAAGUGGCACAGCAACACCACACACUGGGCAAGGUUAUGAGCUCCUGCAGUGCUGCUAUCAACUCCCCGGGACAUAAACUACCCACUUAUUAACGAUGAUGUCUACACUGGAGCAUAACCAAUGUCAGCUGAUUAAAAGCAACGGAGAAAAGGGAGGAAUUUUGAUGUUCUGGAAGGGAAAAAUGGAAGAAAACCUGGAUAUUAAUUGACACCCCCGUGUCAUUCACGCUGCCAAUACUAAAAGGUAAAAUUGGGAAUGCUGUUGAGGAGGAGGCACAUUCCUAUCUGCUGUUGGUGCUCCUGCGUGCUGUGACAGCCAUUUCUGACUAAUCAUCUAUUUUUUAGGAAGAAUGCUGGAUUUACAGGCUGAACAAUCCCAAUGCACAUGGACACCUCCUGUCCAGCCUCUCAUCCACCAGCACCCCCAGGUCCUUCCUAUCGGGGCGAGAUCCCUUUUCCGCAUUUCAGUUUUUGGCUGUGAACCCCUGCAACCAAAGUGUUCUUCCUUGGCUGACAUGGCCCUUGGGAGUCUUUCCACCACUCCAAGACAUCCAGCUUUUGUCCAGGGCAUCAAGUCCAAUGCAAAACACCUGCCUGCCGUUGGACAGUGGCCGUGCUCCAGGUGUGCCUCAUUGCAAUCACCGAGGUCAUUUCUUUUCUCUAGGUUUAAUACUGCCUCUUUCCCUGGACAAACACACGGAAUUCUUGCUGGCUGCCUCUCUCUCUUUCCCAGCAGUGUCUCUCUAAAUCCCUUGGUUGUGGUGACUGCCACAAACUACCAGUGGGAUCUUGGAAAACUGCCACAGCUUUACAGACUUCUUAAACGCCGACUCUUAAGCAACGAGUCCCAGAAGAAUUAGAAUGGAAUUGUGAAAGCGGGAUAAAAUUCCAGCGGGACUUGCCCUUCUCUGCACCUUCUCGGUUUGAAAACUCAAGGUGAAAAUUAAUAAAAAUGGAAGGCUUGGAUUCCAAGAGCAGUUCACCCCAUGCAUAGAGGGGUUGCUGCAGCAAAAAUAGCCUUUCAUUUCAGUCUUAUAAGCUACUAGGGAAAGGGUUAAAAAAAGCCUGUGACAGAUGAAUUUUUAGCAAACCGAUUCAGAG